GCCUAUUUCUUUAGCUUGGUGUCUGUGUCCUUUGAGUUAGCCCCGUCGAUUGGCAAAACAGGCAGGCAGAAAUUUUUUUGUGUGGCCUCCCCGGGAACAGCCGGUUGUGUUUCCUCCCGUUAGUUUUUUCUUGCAGGUGAAGAGGAAGGCGGCAACUGCAGGAACGUGCUAGUUAGCUGCCGUGCUGCUUUUGUCGAGGAUGGAAUCGGACCUCCGUCCCUCUGAAAGCUAAGUCGAGCGAACGGGGCCGAGAGGAGGGGCCGAGGUUGGGAAUUGCAGGGAAGUGUUUGAAAGUUAGCACGGGGAGAAGGCUG